rnacentral:ncRNA from 1 species
UGACCAAGGGGUCGGGACGUUCUGCCCGUUUCGGGGGCGGAGUGACCUACGGGUACAGGGAGUGCCUGCGCAAGGACCGGGUCAGGAAAAGC